rnacentral:rRNA from 1 species
CCCUACGGGGUGCACCAGGUACCAUUUCAGAACCUGCCAGACAAAUUCUGGUACUGGCACCGACUGAUGUCCUGGUGAUCGGGGGAGGUCCCGCCGGGACAGCUGCUGCCAUCGCUGCCAGCAGGACCGGGGCUGAAACAUAUCUUGUGGAAAGGUACAACCAUCUGGGUGGCCUUUGGACCGGGGGUUUGGUUUUGCCCCUGCUGUCAACCCAUGCCGUUGACCGGCAGCAAAGAACCAAACAGGUUAUUUAUGGAAUUGGCGGGGGGGC